CUCCGCCCCCUUUUGUGGUGGUGCCAGGCGGCCGUGGGGCUUCCUGCUGACGCCGAGCCGCGGAUGGGCAGGAAGGGCAGCCGGCGCCUCCGCUGCCUUUCCUCUUCUCGUCGCCGCCUCCUUCUCCUCGGCAGCCGGCUGCCUCCUCGCCCCCGCUCGCCCCACCGGCAGGGGCGCGACAGCUCGCGGGCAGGGCGCAGGUGCGGGGCAGGCCCGGCGGGGACGGGCACGGGGACAAGCGGCCGCGCUGAGGAAAGGCGCCGGCCUCCCCCGCCGUCCUGGGAAGGGGCGGGAAGGCCCCCGGCCGGCCAUGGUAGCCCCCGGCCUUUGAGCAGCGUCGGCCGCGCCCCCUCGCCGAUGGCCGAAGCCUGGAGGCUGGAGGAGGACGAGGAGGAGCUGCGGGAGCUCGGCAGGAGGCACCGCCGGGCCCUGGGCUCAGCAGCAGAACAACAAGGAAAAAAAACUAUUUUUGCUUCUUGUGGCUGUAUGUGGCUGUGUUUGGGACCAGCCUGAAGGGCUGGAUGACAGUAAAGCUUGAAAUUAUUUGCCCCAUUGUCCAAACUGAAAGAAAUACAAGGUAUACUUCUAUAAUCUUUAUGUCCAUAGGGAAGUUAUGAUGUAUCAGGCAAAAGGUUAAUUUUGUUUAUAAAUCUAUUUCCUACAACUUACAGUUGCCUAUAAGUGUCUUCAAGAAAGUACGCAAGAAACCUCUACUGGAAUUUAACUUUUGAUACCAAGAAGGGUUCCUUCUCCUUUGCAACUGGUAUCCUAGAAACUUAUUGGAAGCUGCAAAUGAAAAUCCCUGUUAAACUAAUUCCUUUUUGAAACUACUUACACUUCUGACCUUCAAAUAUUACAUUGUAGUUAGGAACGCAACUUAAUUAUGCAUUAUUUAAAAUCAGUUACUACCUGUUACAUGCUGGAUGAUAUUUUUACUGGAUAUUCAUUAGUUCUUGGGUUGUGAUGAUGUGUCCCACAAGUAUUUUGCUUUUUUUAAUGUGGCUUUGAACACGGUGAUUUAUAUUCCAAAAGCUGUAAGUAAAUUUCAGGUGCAUUGUUUCCUACAAAGGUAUUUCUGAUGCAUUCUCCUCCUAGACAGGAUACUGUACGCAUGAAAUAAGCUAUUAGUGGUUGUUUUUUCUUCAGCUAUAGCAUUUUAUUUCUAUAUGUAGGAGACAAGCUAAAAUUAAAGGUAAAUUGUUUUCUUGAGGUGAUAGAUUUAUAUUCAUCGUGCACUCUGUCUUGCAUUAAAACCCAAGCAGUCAGUAUCACAGAUCAACACAUGAAAAUUGAUUCAGGUUGUGCACAUCUGUGUUAAAUCAUUUACAAGAAUUUUUGAGUGAACAGAGUGCUGUGGUGUUAUUUAUUAUUAAAAUAUUGUUUGCUCAUCCUGUGUGAGUGAUGGGACAUAAAAGCCUGGGAACAAACUCAGCAUUUUGAUAACUUUCACAUAAUAAAUUGUUCCCUCAGUGUGUUGUGUUCGUUUUAUGAUUGUCUGCACUGUAAAUCUGCAGUAUAGAAACCAGUAGAAAUGAUGGGAUUUGGG
rnacentral:lncRNA from 1 species